ACUAAGGAAAACGCAUUCAUUAUCUUACCCUGGUUUAGAGGCAAUCUUUGUUGCUCCACUUAAUUAAAAAAAAAAGCCUUCUAAAACAGGGAAGAGAAAUUAUAUUCCCGGUAACCAAAAUCUUAACACUGAUGCAGUAAGUUGGUUAAAAUAGAAGAAAGAGACUUACCCUCUUCUAAGUGCAAAUACUGUCUUUUGGGGAAUAAUCCUUACAUUACCUAGAUGCAGUUUUGCUUAAAUUGACUCAACAUCCAAAUGCCCACUUUUAAUCAGCAAAAAC
rnacentral:lncRNA from 1 species